AAAAAAUCAAGGCUGAAAUCUCAUGUUACAGGUACAAGGAGCAAUAAAUUCCCAACGUGGGCCCGAGCCAUCGCGUCAAUUUCCAAUCUGCAAAUCAAAAUCUUCGUCAGCCCACGAACAAAUGAAUUAGUUUCAAUCAAACUCAGCCUUUGUUUUGUGAUUUGAUUUUCUUAACUCGAAGCUUACAGAGAGUGAAAGAUGGCGGAUUCCAGUGAAAAUUUUAACGGGGUUUUGUAUGAGGGCGUUGGGGACAGUGAAGAAUCUGGAUUUCCUAAGAAAAUAAAAAAAGGAUCACAUCAUCGUCAAGAACUGAGAGAAGUGACUCUUUAUACUGUUUUCAGCAAUUUGAUCAAUGCAAUUUUCUUUCGGAGCCCGAAUUCUCGUUACGGUUCUGUUCAUCUACUGCACCGGAUCAAAGUUUCCGUUUAUGAAAAUAUUCCCCUGCUUCGUGACGCUUCGACGAACAGUGGUCGCCAUGUUCUCGNAAUUUUGAUAAUCCAAUGAGAAUUUGACAAAUCAAUGCUCCUAAAUCUAUUCAAUACUCUCUCUCGAGAUGUAUUGAACCUAUUCUCAUAAAUCACCAGCCUAUAUUUCUAUGACGGAUGCAAUUAUACAAGAACGCAUGUAAUUUUUUUGUGAGCAAUUAAAGAUUUACA
rnacentral:lncRNA from 1 species